rnacentral:sRNA from 1 species
UAGGGGUUCCUAAACCAAAAGAAUCUACAACUGGGUUGUUGAAAGCCAGAAGGAUUCUCUCUGAAAAUUUUGGAAGCAUCCAUGUGUACUUUGGAGAUCCUGUGUCACUUCGAUCUUUGGCAGCUGGGAGGAUGAGUCGGAGCUCAUAUAACUUGGUUCCAAGAUACAUUCCUCAGAAACAGUCUGAGGACAUGCAUGCCUUUGUCACUGAAGUUGCCUACAAAAUGGAGCUUCUGCAGAUUGAAAACAUGGUUUUGAGCCCCUGGACCCUAAUAGUUGCUGUUCUGCUUCAGAACCGGCCAUCCAUGGACUUUGAUGCUCUGGUGGAAAAGACUUUAUGGCUAAAAGGCUUAACCCAGGCAUUUGGAGGGUUUCUCAUUUGGCCUGGUAUGUAGAUUACCCACAUUCCUAAGCAUGUUCAUAUCUCAAGCUUUUUAUGAUCAUUUCACAUAAAAUAUUAUUCAAUUGAGCAAGCUGAGACAAGGCAAGUUGGUCAAGAAUGAAUGUGAUCAAGUCCAGGAGGAAGCCAUACCUCUCACUUGUCCCUGCCUUGAAGCAGUAGCAGAACUUGCCACCCAACUUGAGCAG